rnacentral:rRNA from 1 species
UACGGAGGGUGCGAGCGUUGUCCGGAAUUACUGGGCGUAAAGCGCACGUAGGUGGCGACGUAAGUCGGGUGUGAAAGCCCCGGGCUCAACCUGGGAAUUGCAUUCGAGACUGCAUUGCUGGAGUACGGAAGAGGAAGGCGGAAUUCCCGGUGUAGCGGUGAAAUGCGUAGAUAUCGGGAGGAACAUCAGUGGCGAAGGCGGCCUACUGGUCCAGUACUGACACUCAAGUGCGAAAGCGUGGGGAGCAAACAGG